UCUUUGUCCUUCCAUCUGAAUUUUCAUAUUGUUUUUCUAUUUCUAGGAAAAUGGCACUGAUAUUUUGAGAUUUUGACAGGAAUGGCAUUUGAACACCUGCUUGCUGUGGGUAGCAUGUACAUUAUAACAACAUGAAUUCUUCCCAUCCACCAUCACAGUCUGUCUUUUCUUCUCUUAGUGCCACUUCACUCAUUGCUUCAAUUUCUACAAUUUUCCAAGAAGAGAGCUGGUGAGGUCACUGGAGGUGUGGAUGACCAAAGCUGUGGAAUUGGGACUUGAAGUUAUUCAUGUACCAGCCAUGCGUCAGCAGGAGAACAAUCACCAACUGUCCUUGCUCCUUGCAGGGCCCAGAACUUCCCAGUGCCUGUCACAGACAAAUCUGUGCACAAAUCCACCCCAGCAAAGUUUCUCAUUCAGCUUUGACCAACUCAUUUCUGCAUGCCUCAGGGUUGCUUGAGGUCCCAAGACUGGCAGUCUUUCUCCUUGUCAAGUGUCCCAUGCACUCAUGAGAGGCCCACAGGCCAAAGCCAAAAUCUUCUGAACGCAGUGCUUAGUUUCAGUGAGCUCAGGUUGAUCCAAUUCAGCUGGGACAUCUUGUAGAAUUGGACACCAGCAUUCUGCUCCAGUUGCAGAGAGCCCAGCCCAGCCUUCUCUCUGCCUUGAAUGGGACAGUGCUGGUCCAAGAAGACUUACCCCGCUGAUAUUAGUCCCUAAAAGUGCUGUGACCACCGUGCUCCUUUCUUUAGGAAAGCAUGAAAUCCAUCUUCCUUUCUCACCCUCGUGGUGUUGUCUCUGUGAGAAAGAGAAUGGUGUCUGCAGUGUUGCUCUACUUGUGCUUACUCUACAGGGUUGGUGCACUGCAAAUAUCUGUGAAGUGAGUGGUCAGAAGGAGUGUGUUCUGCCUGCCAUUCCUUCCUCUUCAGUUCAUAUAGUGAUGCAUCAUUCCAUUAUGUGUGUCUUCUGGGGACACCUAUUCCUCUAUUAUGUGUUCACAUAUGCAGAGGCCAGGAAGUUAGGCACAUUCACAGUAAUGUGGGUAGUACCUGAUCUGUUCUUUAGAGGGACUUGUGUCCUGGAUAACAUGGAAUCACAAGAGAACAGUGGCUAAAUUUGCUCUGGCCAUUGCAUUAGGGUCAUAGCCUAGUAAAUUGGUGGUUAAAUGCACUCACCAGCUCUUUUUAUGAUGUCUGUGUGAACCUGUGUCCUAUGGUAUCCUCCAGAGAUUCUUACUGUGGAUACCUUGGAAGCCCAUGGAAUGACUCUCCAGUGUCCUUCACAAUAAAGAUAACAGCUUCACCCACGUGACAGAUCCAUGAUAGGAGGCAAGGCUUCCCCAAGGCUAAGAAAAACCAGCAGUGCUCACAGUGUCACAGCUCUGAGGAGAAAGAUUCAAAUCCUCCUCCUGACUUCCUCCAUAAACCUAGACAAGACACCAUGCCUCAGGUCUUUCACGGAGUGUCCCCAUGCAAUAUAGAGGUCAUCCUGGCAUCUACUUCCUAGGGAUAUUUUCACCAGUCUGAGAUGACAAUUGUAAUGCCUGUUGGCUAGUGUCUUGUGUACAUAGUGUACAGAAUUAGAGGUUAAAUCCAGGAACCGGUGCGAUGAACGUGGAAUACAGUGCUGCCUGGUGGUAGAAAUGACACUGACCUCCUGGACAUAUUCCUUGGUGGCAUCGUGAGGGGGCAGAAGUUCUUCAAUUCAAUCAUCUUUAUGUUCCCUAAGCAUCACAAUUUGUUCUACGUACUGGUGCUAUGGCCUCGAGUCAGGACCUCACACAGGCUAUGCCAGCACUAUGGAUGGAGUUGAACCCCCAAAUCUUCUGGCAUUGCUUCUACAUUCACACCUGUGUGAAUUAGCACUCCCAUGGUCUGACUCCUACUCAAUAGCUGACAGAUGACCUUCUGAUGCCAAAAGCUGAGUAGCCCAUUCCCUACAUUAUGGGCCUCACUUAGUGAAUUAUUAUUAUUAUUAUUAUUAUUAUUAUUAUUAUUAGUGUUGUUAUUUUGCAUUAGCAGUGUUGAAAUUGAGCCCAGGGCCUCAUGCAUGGUAACCAAGUACUCUAUACUGAGCUCUCUCCCCAGCUCUUGACUCACUCUUAAAUAACUGAAUAUGCCAGACAUCAUGUGAUGCAAAUACUAAGGUUCAAGCAUUAAAAUAACUGUGACCCAUCUUCUGUUCUUUCCCUCUUAUGUUCUCUCUUACAUUUUAGUAUUUAUUUUUCUCUCUCUCUGGAUCUCUCGCUGUGGGGAAGCCACUGCUAUCUCUGAAGCUUGCAAGAGGAGAGCCUGAUGAGCUUUGAGUGAGAAAAGGGAAAACAGUCCAAAAGGCACCAGGCUUUUGCCUUGGGUCCUGCCUGUAAGCAAGGGACAGACCCUGAGAGCAAGUUAUGCCCUAGUGCCAUCUCCCCUGAGCCUGUCUUUACAGAGAUAUGAUGGUAACAGACCCAGCAAAGCCUCUUGGAUUCCUGAUACCCAGCAACUCUGAGAGAACAGAGUUUAUCUCUUAUAUGAACUGACCUGUCUUCUAUCACACAUGUCUUGUCACAUUUUCCAAAUGUAUGUAAUGACUGGAUAGAAUUUGACCUCUCUGCCUUCUUUCAUCAAUCAUAAUCAUUAAGGAUUAUGUACAGUGAGAUUGCUGUACAGUGUUUUCCUAUGGAUUUUCUUUCGUAGGUUCUGACUUCAUGGUUUUCUGUGUUUUUUUUUAUUCAUUCAAAUGUUAUUGGAUAUUCACAUUUCAGUUUUCAGUUGUUGGAAACAAAGUUCAUAUGAAUAUCUUAUAAAAUUCUCUUCAUGACAUAGAGAGGAUUGUAUGUACAGAAUCCUAAGAUAGUCAGAUGAGUUAAUGUGAAAUUAACUGUCAAAAUGAUAUCUGAAGUGAAUUUACCACAAGCAAGAGAGAAGAAAUUUCCUUUGUGCACCUCCUCACGAAUACCAGUGUGUUUUGCUGAAAAAAAGAAAGUCUGCUUUUGUGCUCUUCAAAACAAAAACAGGGUUUCUCUUGUGGAAUGAAUAUUCACUUACCUGAUAAUUGACAAUGAUAGGAGGCAUGUAGAAACUGGGAAGGGUUCAUGUGACUGCCAAGGGCAUGUUGAAGGCCUUAGAAGUGAUAGACUUGUGAAUCCCAUGGAGGACUUGGAAUCACAGCUGGCUCCUGUGGAAGUCACACUGCAUGACCGAGGGAGUGCUGACCUCUCCUGAAGUUAAGGCCCCAUGACUAGGACAGUCCCUGUGAGAGUUCCUUGGUAUUGCAUGACAGGCCUACUACUUGACAGAAGAUGGAGGUGGAGGAGCCCCUAGUCCAAGGAGAGGGAUUCAGGGGACUCUCCUCUCUACCCAUAAUACAUAUGUACAAUCUAGACAGCUUUGGAAUAUGGGAGCAGCCGAAAGAGUUAAAGCAAAAUGUGAGUGAAACAGUCCCACCAUGGGUGUUAUACCUAUUGGAAAAUGACAAAAAGAAAAGGCAAAAUGCGAUCUCAAACAUCUAGUCCAUCAGGAGCAAGACCAACCUACAUUGAAAUAGAGGACUUUAAAAGUCAUAAAUCAGAAACCUCAAAAGAUAGAAAAUGAAGUAAAGAAACAAAUCCAUGAGGCUACAGAGGAAAUUGAACUAGAAAUAAUUUCUCAUGUAAAGAAAUAACAACUAUAGUAAACUAGUUGCUCAACAUAGCUAGAGAAGAGAUAUAUAAAACAAAAAUACAGGAGCAUGGUAAAUUGAAACUAUGAAUGAACAAUGUAGAAAACAAGCAGAAUCUAUGAAACAUAUGUAAA